GACCCGUAAUAUCCGGGCUACACGCGAGCUACAAUGGUUGGUACAAUGGGUAUCUACCCCGAAAGGGGACGGGAAUCUCCUAAAACCAAUCUUAGUUCGGAUUGAGGGCUGCAACUCGCCCUCAUGAAGCUGGAAUCCGUAGUAAUCGCGUUUCAACAGAACGCGGUGAAUACGUCCCUGCUCCUU
rnacentral:rRNA from 1 species